UACGGAGGGUGCAAGCGUUAUCCGGAUUCACUGGGUUUAAAGGGUGCGUAGGCGGGCAGGUAAGUCCGUGGUGAAAUCUCUGAGCUUAACUCAGAAACUGCCAUGGAUACUAUUUGUCUUGAAUAUUGUGGAGGUAAGCGGAAUAUGUCAUGUAGCGGUGAAAUGCUUAGAUAUGACAUAGAACACCAAUUGCGAAGGCAGCUUACUGAACCUACAUUGACGCUGAGGCACGAAAGCGUGGGGAUCAAACAGG
rnacentral:rRNA from 1 species